rnacentral:lncRNA from 1 species
UAUUACCUUCAACCCGUUCAUCGAACUCAAACCACACUCACCAUCAUCAGCUAAGCCAUCAAACCCACUUCUCUCACUUCCUUCAUACCCAUCAAAAUCACUUCUCUUACCACCACUGAAACCGUUCAUUCUGCCAUCAGUCCCCCUCCUUCACACUUACCCAACCUACCACCCCCACUAUUCAUUUCCUCAACAAGUCCAUUAAUAUCCUUCAUCUACCGAACCCUUCACCAACGCACCCGCCUUCAACUUAUUUCUUUCCACUUUCCCAUGUGCAUGCAACCC